rnacentral:rRNA from 1 species
UACGUAGGGGGCGAGCGUUGUCCGGAGUUACUGGGCGUAAAGGGCGUGCAGGCGGUGCGGUAAGUUUAGCGUGACAGUCUCCGGCUUAACUGGAGAAGGCCGCUGAAAACUGCUGGACUUGAGGGCCAGAGAGGGACAUAGAAUUCCGGGUGGAGUGGUGAAAUGCGUAGAUAUCCGGAGGAAUACCAAAGGCGAAGGCAGUGUCCUGGCUGGCAACUGACGCUGAGGCGCGAAAGCUAGGGGAGCGAACAGGAUUAGAUACCCUGGUAGUCCUAGCCGUAAACGAUGACCACUAGAUGUGCGGGGUAUCGACCCCCUGCGUGUCGGAGCAAACGUUUUAAGUGGUCCGCCUGGGGAGUACGGUCGCAAGAUUAAA